rnacentral:lncRNA from 1 species
UGUAUAUACGCGGCACAAGUCGCUUUUAUGUUCAUCAAGCAUAAAAAAGUUUUAUAGUACAUACUAGUUUAAUAGUUAAAAGAAGCCGAUUUACAAUACUGUCAUGGAAAAUAAUAAAAACAGAACACGUUAAUGAGAACAGCAAAGAUAUUAAUAGCUGCAACAACAGCGACGUCAACAGCAAUAUAUACGAAGAAUAGAAGUGAAUGAUACAAUCAUAAAACACCACAAAAUAACAAUUACAAUAGCAACAACAACACCAACCGGAAAACGCACCGCCCUCUCUCGAAAGAAUAAUAAAAACCAAGCUAAGGUUUUGCUGCCUAAAAUCACAAUCUCUACGUUCUGUUGUUUCUAAUUAAUUCAGAACAACAGAUAUAACAUUAAACAUAGCAACAACAUCAACAACAACAAUAAUAACACUGUGUUGUUUGUAAAAUAAUCUGUGAGUGUAAUAUUUACCGCCUAGCUACACAGAUAUUAUCUAUAUAAAAGCGAUACAAAUUUUUUCUUAUUUAACGUUGGAUGAACAUAACUGAUGACAAAUCGUUCUGGAUACAACUUGGAGGGUUUUUUCGUUAUUUUCUUUGAAAACAGGCCUAAACUGGUGAGUUGUGUAACUUUUAAUUUUAUAUUAUGAUAUAUUUUAUUUCUUUGUCGUUGUUGUUCAUCUUCGGUAUAUUAUGGAAAAGAGAUGAAUAAUUUUCCUGAGAAAAAGCAUCUAUAUAUAUGACUUUGACAUUUAUAUGUGUAUAUAUAAACACACAUGUAUAUACACACAGCUGCACACAUAUGCAUAUCAUAUAUACAUAUUAACACACGUCACAUCAAUCAUCCACCAAUCUGUCUGUCUGCCUAUCUAUCUAUCUAUCUAUCUAUCUAUCUAUCUAUCUAUCUAUCUAUCUAUCUAUCUAUCUAUCUAUCUAUCUAUCUAUCUAUCUAUCUAACCAUCUCUCUCUGUCUAUCAGCCUAUAUCUCUGUAUAUAUGUAUCUACCUAUGUCUGUGUGUGUGUAUAUAUAUAUAUAUGUAUAUACAAGUAUAUAUGUAUAUAUUUAUAUAUGUAUAUGUAUAUAGAUAUAUAAAUAUAUAUGUCAAUGUAUAUAUAUAUAUAUAUAUAUAUCUUCUCUACAAUCUAUACUUAUACAUGCGAAUAUAUACAUACAUAUACGUCCAUAUAUACAGACAUUUGUAUAUGUAUAUUCAUAAGUGUGUAUGAGUAUAAGUUUGUAUGUAUAUACAAAUAUAUAUAUAUGACUAUAAUAAGUAUAUAUGUAUAAAAAUAAACUGUUCAUACAUAUAUACAUAUGUAUUUAGAUAUAUAUAUAUGUAUAUCGAUAAGUAUACAUAGGUGCAUGUACAAAAAUAUAUGUAUACAUAGUAUUCAUACACACAUACAUACAUACAUAUAUAUAUAUAUAUAUAUAUAUAUGUAUGUAUAUAUAUAUUUGUGUAAUCAGAUUACUAGAUAUAUAUAUAUAUAUAUGUAUGUAUAUAUAUAUUUGCGUAUAUAUUAUAUAUAUAUAUAUAUAUAUAUAUAUAUAUAUAUAUAUAUAUAUAUAUAUGUAUAUAUAUGUACACUUUAUAUAUAUAUAUAUAUAUAUAUACAGAUGUAUGUUGAUAUAGCAUAUAUGUCCUGUGAUAUAUAUAUUCAAUAUCCUGUGUAUACAGACAACAGCUCUGACGUUCAACCCUGCUCUGAGUUCAAAUUUCACUGCUUCAAAUUUCCAUUAAAUUAUUUCAGGGUCCAUAAAUUCCCAGCCUAGUUUGGUGAAACUUUUUGAGAUGUUAGAGCGUCUGACAUGAUCCUUUGUGGUAUUGGUUCAUGCUCUCCUCUCAUUCUCAGUUCGAAUACCGCUUCGAAUUCAUAUGUCAGUAAUGGCGGUGUCAUCGCUGCUCAUGCAAUGACAAAAGGUGUCAAGUUGGACCAGGACAGAUCAGUCUCUGUUUAAUCGAACUAGAGUUCGAAAACAGGGGCCUUCAGGACUAAGAACUGGGGAAGUGUAAGGUCUACUUGUUGCCAGUAUCUUGUUCUCAGGGCCAAAUAACCAAAUACACAAAGUGGAUGUUUAUCAGGUAACAGAUUUUGUAAAGAACUUUGACAGCGUCAAAAUACAGAUCACAACGAUGAUAUGUAUAUAUGUAUGUCAGUAUGUCAGUAUGUAUGUGCACAUACACACACAUACACACACAGAUACUAAUAAACACACACACACAUGUUUAUAAAACUAUGUAUCACACCUAUAUACGCAGCACGCGUAUACGGACACGCAUAUACAUCGGCGAGUGUAAGAUUGUGAAUGUAUUUUGGAUGUUUAAGUACACCUAUCUACCUCUUUUUUUACACAUACACAUACAUAAACAUAUAUGUAUGUAUGCUUAAAUAUAAAUACAUUAACACAUACACAUAUACAUACACACACACACACACAGACAUAUAUAUAUAUUUAUGGAUAUAAAUACACAUGCACACACAUACGCAAGUAUAUAUACAUUCAUGCAUCAGUUCAUGUGUAUGUUUAGUAGUGGGAAUGAGUGCGUACAAUAAAUCGGUUGAUGUUGAUAUGACUGAGUGGUAAUAAAGAAAUUCAAUUUGCAAUAUUGUGGAAGUCGCAGGUUCGAUCCCACUCCUGAAACAGCUAAGCAAAUGUAUGGUUAACAUGCCAUAAUAAAAGAGGUUGACGGAAUUUGUGGAAAUCGCUCGCAUGUUCUACAAGUGGAAGUGUGGGUUAUAUUACAGUAUCCAUCAUUCUCGUCCCUUAAUAGCAACUGUAAAAUGUACGGUUAAGUGUAGUAGGACAGGAGUGGCAUUUACAAUAUAUGUAAAUGAAUAGACAUUUUGGCUUUUGUGGUAAGAACUUUACUUCUAAACAACAAGGACGCAUGUUCGGGCCCACUGCGUAGCAUCUUGGAUAUAUGAAAUUUUGUAAGGCCUCGGGCCGGUUUGUGAAUGGAUUUCGUAUAUGUCUGUGUGUGUGUGCAUAUGUGCCUGUGAGAGGGAGAGAGAGAUUCUGUGCGUGUGAGUAUGUGUGUGUGUGUGUGUGUGUGUGUGUGUGUGUGUGUGUGUGUGUGUGUGUGUGUGUGUGUGUGUGUGUGUGUGUGUGUGUGUGUGUGUGUGUGUGUGUGUGUGAGUUUAUGUCCCCGUAACUCAGCAGUUCAGCAAAUACAUUUAACGAUUUAGAAAGAAAAAUGCACUGGAGUCGGUUCUUUCGACUAAAAUUCUUGAAGUUUACGCCCCAGCAUGGCCCCUGUCUGAUGACGAAAACAAGUAAAAGAUGAAAAAAGGAACACUGGAACAUCGGUCUUUGUGACUAUCAGACGUCCUACACAUACAUAUAUACAUACAUACAUACAUACAUACAUAUACGCACACAUACAUAUCUAUCUAUCUCUCUAUCUCUCUCUCUUUCUAUCUAUCUAUAAAUCUAUCUAUCUAUCUUCCUCUCUCUCUCUCUCUCUAUAUAUAUAUAUAUAUAUAUAUAUAUAUAUAUAAUACAUAUAUGUAUAUAUGUAUAUAUAUAUGUAUAUAAUAUAUAUAUAUUUCAUCAUUUACAUUAAUGACAUUAAUGACAUCAUCAAGCACAGCAACAUAAAAAUCUUUGCAGAUGACUCCAAGCUACAGAAGGUCAUAAAUGAGGCGAGUGACCGGACAUGCCUUCAGUCAGAUCUACUGGCUGUUAUCCAAUGGGCAGAAAAAAACAAUAUGCUGCUGAACGAGGAUAAAUUUGAGCUAAUCCACUUUGGAAAAGAGGAUGCCCUGAAACUCCCAUACUCCCUUCCUUCAGGUGAAACUCUCACGGCGUCCAACAACAUCAGAGACUUGGGAGUAAUUGUGGACAACAACGUAAGCUGGGCCACUCAUAUAAACACCAAAGUUGACAUGGCCCGCAGAAUGUGUUCCUGGAUUCUCAGAACUUUCCAGUCGAGAGAUAUCCACACCAUUAUCCUUCUCUUCUCCACUUUUGCCCGACCCCACCUUGAAUACUGUUGUCCACUGUGGUCUCCCCACACAAUACAAGGUAUCAUAAAAGUCGAAGCACCUCAAAGGGCAAUCACAAAAAAGAUAGAUGGCAUGACAGGCCUCGACUAUUGGGGUCGACUAGAAAAGCUAAAACUCUAUUCUCUCCAACGUCGUCGUGAGCGCUACAUCAUCUGCAUGAUGUGGAAAAUAUUCCAUCAGCAUUGCCCAAAUGAUGUUGGCAUCACCUUUAAGGUACAUCCAAGGCUUGGGCCCCGUGCCAUCCGCCCAAAACAAAAAUCGCACUCUCAUCUCAUAACAACAAUACGGCACAAUUAUUUCACCUCAAUUGGCCCCGCUCUCUUUAACAUUACACCAAAACACAUUAAAACAGAAACUGACCCUAUAGGGUACAAGAAGUCUUUGGACAGAUUCCUUCAAGAAAUCCCGGAUAAACCCCCUACACCCGGAUAUGUCUCUGUAAACAAUAACUCUCUACUUGAGUGGGCCAUAGUGCCCAAAUUCUGACUUGAAAGACUUCACCAGGUGGUGCUAUUAAGUUAGACAUGGCCUGGGCCAAUAAUGGCCGAAACCUAUCAAAGUAUCAAAGUAUCAAAGUAUCAAAGUAUAUAUAUAUAUAUAUAUAUAUAUAUAUAUAUAUAUGUAUGUAUGUAUGUAUGUAUGUAUCUUUACAUAUUUGUGAAGUGUCAUGUUACGGAAGAAUCGGGUUUGCAUCUUUUUACAACUUCUAUCGAUGACAAAAUAAAUAUAUACAAAUUAUAACUUUUUGGUACAACUAAACCUAUAUAUGUAUGUAUAUACAUAUAUAUAUAUAUAUAUAUAUAUAUAUAUAUAUAUAUAUAUAUAUAUAUAUAUAUAUAUAUAUACAUACAUAUAUAUAUAUAUAUAUGUAUGUAUAUAUAUAUAUAUAUAUAUAUAUAUAUAUAUAUAUAUAUAUAUACAUACACAGCUCUAAUCAGUAUCAGGGGUAUUAAUUAGAACUAUUAAAAUGGAUUCGUUACAACGUGUUCACGUGCAUAAAAUUCCACUCUGUCCACCUAUGCAUCCAGACACACAAACACACACGUUCACACACGUACACACACACACAUGCACACACACAGAUAUGCACAUAUAUACAUACAUACAUACAUACAUACAUAUAUAUAUAGAGAGCGAGAUAGAUAGACAGAUAGAUAGAUAGAUAGAUAGAUAGAUAGAUAGAUAGAUAGAUAGAUAGAUAGAUAGAUAGAUAGAUAGAUAGAUAGAUAGAUAGAUAGAUGAGCAUGAGGCACAUGAGUGGUUGUGUCGUGAGUAGUUUGCUUACCAACUAAUUGGUCGCGGGUUCAGUUCCACCGCGUGGCACCUUUGGCAAGUGUCUUCUACUAUAGCCUCAGGCCGACCAAAGCCUUGUGAGUGAAUUUGGUAGACGAAAACUGGAAGGAGCUUUUCUUAUAUAUAUAUAUAUAUAUAUAUAUAUAUGUGUGUGUAUAUAUAUAUUUGUGUGCAUAUGUUUGCGUGUCUGUGCUUGUCCCCCAUCCAACAUUGCUUGACAAUUGAUGCUGGUGUGUUUACGUCUCCGUAACUUAGCGGUUCGACAUAAGAGACGGAUAGAAUAAGUACUAGGCUUACAAAGUAUAAGCUCUGGGGUCGAUUUGCUCGAGUAAAGGCGGUGCUCCAGCAUGGGCGUAGUCAAAAUGACUGGAACAAGUAAAAGAGAGUAAAAGAGAGUAUACGUAUAUAGAUACAUAUGUACACAAAUAUGUAUAUAUGGCUGCGUAAGUGUAUGUAUACAUACAUACAUACAUACAUACAUACAUACAUACAUACAUACAUACAUACAUACAUAGCUGAGACCCCCUUCGGUCAAGUCUGACCAUGAAAUUGCACCUAGGAAGUUACCCUCCCAGGCACAAGUCCGGACAAGGUUGUUUAUGGAAGACCGUCAGUCACCCAUGCAUACCGGCCUCCCCUUCUGCACGCCACCAGUGUUAUCCAAAGGAAAGGCAAGGGCUGAUACAGCUUGGUACCUGUGACAUCGCAACUCAUUUCUACAGCUGAGUGAACUGGAGCAACGUGAAAUAAAGUGUCUUGCUCAAGAACACAAUAAGCAGCCCGGUCCGGGAUUCGAACUCACAACCUCGCGAUCGUAAGUUCGACGCUCUAACACACACACACACACACACACACACCCACACACACACACACACACACACACAUAUACAUACAUACAUACAUAUAUAUAUAUAUAUAUAUAUAUAUAUAUAUAUAUAUAUAUAUAUGUAUAUAUAUGUAUAUAUAUAUAUAUCAUAUAUAUAUACAUGUAUGUCUUUGUAUAAUUAUACAUGUAAGUCUCUCUCUCUCUCUCUCUCUCUCUCUCUCUAUAUAUAUAUAUAUAUAUAUAUAUAUAUAUAUAUAUAUGGCUGUGUAUGUGUGCGCGCGUAUGUGCAGAUAUCUAUCAGUCUAUCAAUCAAAUUAUGUAUGUAUACAAACUCAUGCAAUAUUAUGUACGAUUGGUUUUCGAUUAGAAUAAACUGCCGGGUAAAAUUAAAUGAAGUUGCAGUCUGCGUAAUAGACACGCUGUAUGUUUUCCGUUCUACAUACAUUACUAUAGUUUAAAAGCCAUGACAGCGCAUUCGAAAGCACAAAUGAUCACUAACGCUGCCAUAACAGUAUGAGAUGGUCACGGCCGGAACGCACUUGUAUUUCUGCUUAGUCAAUAAUGGACUGCAACAACAACAACAGUCACAAUAUUGGUGUUUUAAAGCUUGUUGCUUCGUAACAAUCAUUAUUUCUCUCUUUCUGUCGUUCUGUCAGUGUCUCUCUCUCUCUCUCUGCCGCUCUCUUUCUGUCUUCCCUCUCUGUCGGUCUCUCUUUCUCUCUGGCAGCCUCUCUCGCUCGCUCUCUGUCUCCCGGUCUCAGUCUCCCUUUAUUGUCUGUGUAUUUUUAUAAGUACAUGCGUGUGCAUGUGUGUUUGUAUACAUCAUCAUUCUAUUUUUGAGUCAUGUACAUUCACGUGUGUAUAUGUGUAUCCGUAUACGUGUUUAUAUAUUCAUGGAUGUGGUUACCUAUCUAUCUAUUUAUCUCUCUCUCUCUCUCUCUCUCUCUCUCUCUCUCUCUCUCUCUAUAUAUAUAUAUAUAUAUAUAUAUAUAUCUGUCUGUCUGCAUGUCUGUCUCUUGGUGUCGUCUGCCAUUUUCUCUAUCAGUAUAUAUAUAUGCAUAUAUAUAUGUGUGUGUGUGUAUAUAUAUAUGUAUACAUAUAUAUGUAUAUAUAUAGAUGUAUAUGUAUAUAUGUAUAUAUAUAUAUGCAUAUAUAAGUGUAUAUAUUUAUAUAUAUACAUACAUAUACAUACACCCACAAAUAUACACACACACACAAAUAAUAUGCAUACACCAAUAAUGUCUAUAAUUGAUAUGUAACAAUGUAAUAAUUCUAAACAAUUCGUGCGUUAUUAUUGUUGCUUUCGUGUAUCAUAUAAUACCUUUAUGAUAAAAGACAUAAUAAGCGUGACAAUUCAUUUUAUCUAUCUAUCUAUCUAUCUAU